UACUCUCUGGUUAACUGGGUCUCAUCUCUAGUUCUACUGCAGCUAUUCCAUAGGUCUCUCUGGUUAACUGGGUCUCAUCUCUAGUUCUACUGCAGCUAUUCCAUAGGACUCUGGUUAACUGGGUCUCAUCUCUAGUUCUACUGCAGCUAUUCCAUAGGACUCUCUGGUUAACUGGGUCUCAUCUCUAGUUCUACUGCAGCUAUUCCAUAGGUCUCUGGUUAACUGGGUCUCAUCUCUAGUUCUACUGCAGCUAUUCCAUAGGUCUCUCUGGUUAACUGGGUCUCAUCUCUAGUUCUACUGCAGCUAUUCCAUAGGUCUCUCUGGUUAACUGGGUCUCAUCUCUAGUUCUACUGCAGCUAUUCCAUAGGUCUCUCUGGUUAACUGGGUCUCAUCUCUAGUUCUACUGCAGCUAUUCCAUAGGACUCUCUGGUUAACUGGGUCUCAUCUCUAGUUCUACUGCAGCUAU